rnacentral:rRNA from 1 species
UACGGAGGGAGCUAGCGUUGUUCGGAAUUACUGGGCGUAAAGCGCACGUAGGCGGCUUUGUAAGUCAGGGGUGAAAUCCUGGAGCUCAACUCCAGAACUGCCUUUGAUACUGAGGAUCUUGAGUUCGGGAGAGGUGAGUGGAACUGCGAGUGUAGAGGUGAAAUUCGUAGAUAUCGGGAGGAACACCAGAGGCGAAGGCGGCGACCUGGACGGACACUGACGCUGAGACGCGAAAGCGUGGGGAGCAAACAGG